GAUGAAGACGCAGCGAAAUGCGAUAAGUAAUGUGAAUUGCAGAAUUCAGUGAAUCAUCGAAUCUUUGAACGCACAUUGCGCCCCUUGGUAUUCCGAGGGGCAUGCCUGUUCGAGCGUCAUUAUAACCCCUCAAGCUCAGCUUGGUGUUGGGGCCUGCUGCACUGGCAGCCCUUAAAAUCAGUGGCGGCGCCAUCUGGUUCUAAGCGUAGUAAUUCUUCUCGCUAUGGAGUCCUGGUGGAUGCUUGCCAUCAACCCCCAAUUUUUCUAUGGUUGACCUCGGAUCAGGUAGGGAUACCCGCUGAACUUAAGCAUAUCAAUAAGCGGAGGA
rnacentral:misc_RNA from 1 species